rnacentral:tRNA from 1 species
GGGGUUGUGGCUCAGUGGUAGAGCGCUCGCCUUGCACCUAGCACGUGCAAGGCGCUGAGUUCGAUCCUCAGCACCCCUU